AUUGAACGCUGGCGGCAUGCUUUACACAUGCAAGUCGAACGAGUGGCGAACGGGUGAGUAAUAUAUUGGAACGUACCGAGUAAUGGGGGAUAACCAAUCGAAAGAUUGGCUAAUACCGCAUAUUAUUCGAGCGGCACAUAUCUGAUGAGCUAGUUGGUGGGGUAAAGGCCUACCAAGGCGACGAUCAGUAGCGGGUCUGAGAGGAUGAUAGUCCCAACUGGGAAGAAGACACGGCCCAGACUCCAACGGGAGGAAGCAGUGGGGAAUUUUGGACAAUGGGCGCAAGCCUGAUCCAGCCAUGCCGGGUGUCUGAAGAAGGCCUUCGGGUUGUAAAGGACUUUUGUUAGGGAAGCGGUAACUAACGAAUAAGCACCGGCUAACUACGUGCCAGCAGCCGCGGUAAUAC
rnacentral:rRNA from 1 species